rnacentral:rRNA from 1 species
AAAGGAGCUUCGGCUCCCCAGUAAACCGGCGCACGGGUGAGUAACACGUAGGUAACGUACCUUGGAGUCCGGGAUAACCAGUCGAAAGACUAGCUAAUUCCGGAUACGACUAUGAAGGCUCCGGCUUUUGUAGUGAAAGAUGGCCUCUGUUUACAUGCUGUCACUCCUUGAUCGGCCUGCGCACCAUUAGCUAGUUGGUGAGGUAAUGGCUCACCAAGGCUGAGAUGGUUAGCUGGUCUGAGAGGAUGGCCAGCCACACUGGGACUGAGACACGGCCCAGACUCCUACGGGAGGCAGCAGUGGGGAAUAUUGCGCAAUGGGCGAAAGCCUGACGCAGCGACGCCGCGUGGGUGAUGAAGGCCUUCGGG